CUUGGAGGGGUGAGGGGCCCUGUUAGUCUGACUUUGAAGAAGACCAGCCUUCCAGACUCGCUUGGUGCCCUGACAGCAGCUUGUGUUUCUUCCUUCAAGAGUCUGCUUAGAGAUAAUAAAGAUCAACACUAUUCCUUAUAACAACACCUCAGUAUCCUGCGAGCUGUACACACCAGAGUUUAUUUAACCACCUUGCUGCUGGCAUGAAAGCCUCAGGAGCCCUGGGCUCCCCCAGUGUUGCCUGGGUCUGACUUUGCCUCAGUGAAAACUGCCUCGAAUUCUUUCUUGCACCGAUGGGCAGAUGGGCAGUGUCGGAGGAUCGUGUCAUCUGUCCCGUGGCGCUGGUUGGCUUGGUCAAGUCAGUGUUCAAACUAUCUCCUGCUCUUUCAAGGGGAUCUGGGGCUCUAGAAGAUUAGAGGACUUGGAGAGGUUAGUGACUUGCUCGAGGUCGGCUAGGAAGCAAGACCCAGGAUUCCAACUCAGGUCUGUGUGAUUCCUCUGCAAAAUGGAGAGGUGGAAGGAUGGAUGUCAGGUCUGAUGGAUGGAUGGAUGCCUACAUCAAGAUACAUGCAUAGAUGGAGAGAUGGCUGGCUACCUCAUGAAUGCUGGACUGUUGUGAGAAUCAAACGAGAUAAUGUAUGCUGAGGCAUGCUGUGAACACUACGUGCUGGGUACAGGAGAAUGGAGGCUCCAGAGUGAAAUUAAUGACACUUUGUCGAUGAAGAUCUUGAUUGUGACCUCUGUGGAAAAUGAGCCAUGAACCAACCAAUGAUAAGUCUACUUUUCUUCCACGUAACAACCACAGGAUAGAUGACAUUCAUUUUCUAAGAAACAAAAUCUUGGCAGUUAGAUCCGUGGGGUAAAGAAUAUAGAUACUAAUAAUGAAAACCAUGUAGCUGGUCUUAUUAUUCUCUAAUCAUGAAGACCAUUAUUGUUAUUUGUGGACUAAGGAGCAGAAAGACUGAUAGUGGACAUAGGCCAGCUGAUUUAAUAAUUUAAGAAAGAACUGUUAUCCUGAGUAAGGAGCAUAGAGACAAAUAUAAAAUGAACGCACUCUACCUGAUUUAAUUAUAGUCUUCUGGUGAAGAUCUUGCUGUUAUCUCUGUGAAUCAGGAGAGAAGAGAUUGAUAAGGAAUAGACGAGAUUGGAUUUGGUCAUUUCCCCAAGGUGAAGAGCAUGGCGAUUUCUUCUGUGGUAAGGAGCAAUAAUGAAGACCAUGGUUGAUUUAAUCAGUCUCUGCUGAUGAAGAUCUUGGCUGUUACCUUUGUGUGUAAGGAAGCUAAAGACUUAAGUAAAUAACAGUCCAAAAACUUGUCAAUUAGGAAUGAAUGCGCAAUGAUUCAAUUAUUCUCCAGCGAGGAAGAUCAUG
rnacentral:lncRNA from 1 species